AAGAAAAUUAAAUAUCAAUAGAGAAAACUUUCACAUGUGAGGAAAAUCCUAUGAUCAAGAAAACCAAAAACAGUCAUUAUUAGGGUACCCAAAUCAAGAAAACAACAGUUUCUUUCAUUGAUCAUAGGUUUUAAAUUUGAUGGGGUAUUGUUUUCUGGUCAAUUUGUUCUUGGGUUUUCUUGGAGGAAUCAAUUGGUCAUCUCUAAGGGGAUAAAGUUCGAAUCUUUUGUAAGUUGGUUCAAGGAAAAAGGUGGGAUCUUUACUUUGUUUACUAGUAAAAGUUACAAUUUUUGUGCGAGUUUAUACUUUGUUUAGUAGUAAAGUUGGAAUUUUUAUAAGUAUUUUGAGGUGAAAUUGGCUUGUGAGUUGUGAGGUUAGCUAUAUAUGGAGUUAAAGAGAUAAAGUACAAAUCUUUUCCAAGUUUAUUGUGUUUACUAGUUAAGUUGAAACUAUUGUGCAAGUUUAUGCUUUUUUUGCUAGUAAAGUUGGAGGUUUUACCAAUAUUUGGGGUGAAAAUGGAUUGUGAGUUGUGAAGGUAGCUAUAUGUGGAGUUAAGAGGAUAAAGUUCAAAUCUUUUUCAAGUUUAUCAGGAAAAAAGGUAUUCUUUUUGCUUUGUUUACUAGUAAAGUUACAGUUUUUGUGCAAGUUUAUACUUUGUUUACUGGUAAAGUUGGAACUUCUUAAUAGUAUUUUGGGGUGAAAAAUGUCUUGUGAAGGUAGGUAUAUGUGGAGUUUGAGUGGUAUUGUGGGAGCUUUUGUUGAUCUUGCUAUAGCAUAUUUCUUGCUUUGUGCAGCAACAGUAGCUUUUAUAGCAUCAAAGUUUCUUGAUUUUUUUGGUUUGAGAUUGCCAUGUCCUGGUGAUGGACUUCUUUUUGGUACUGUUCCAAAUCGGAAUUUAUGUUUUCAUAGACUCUUGGUUGAUUUCCCAGCUGAGAAAGUGUCGAAUGUCCAACUCUCCAUAAGAGCAAACUUUCCUUUUACUGAUACUAUUUUAGGGAAAGACCAGAAUUGUGAUUUGAAUUUGAGAUUAAUUGGUCAAGAAAAGGGGAAUAGUCCUCAUGGGUAUCUUGAAAUGGGUGAUGAGGCUUCAUGUAGUUCAGUAUCAGAUGCAAGAAAGUCGCAUAAUAUUGCUAUGAUUGAAUUAAGUCCAAGAAAUGAAUUUGGGCAAAAGGGGAAAGGAGUGAUGAAUCAGAGACAAAGAGGAGGGGUUCGUCGAAGAAGGCGUAAAACAGCUGUUGAUUAUGGGAGAUCUUCGUCAGUUUCAUCAUAUGAUCCGCAAUAUGAAGACUUCCCACUAGGUCCUCCAUCUCCUCCUAGUACUAAUAAAGAAGAUGGUGGCCACCCUGCACUGGUUAUGAGAUUAGGCCAGAGAGACAGCUUUGAACUAACUGGAUCUUCUGAUGAAAUUGAGCACAUUGAAAAGAACGUCGCAUCCAUUGAAGAGCUGAGACAUAAUGGGGAACCAGUUUCCAGCUUCCAUGAGGGGAACAGAAUAAGACUCUUGGAACGAGCCUUAGAGCACGAACGAGAAGCUCGAGAUGCUCUUUGCAUUGAGCUGGAGAAGGAAAGAAAUGCUGCCGCGAGUGCUGCAGAUGAGGCUAUGGCCAUGAUCUUACGUCUACAAGAGGAGAAGGCAGCUAUUGAAAUGGACGCCCGGCAAUAUCAGAGAUUAAUUGAAGAGAAAUCUGCUUUUGAAGCAGAGGAAAUGAACAUUCUAAUGGAGAUCCUGAUGAGGACAGAGAGGGAGAAACACUUUUUGGAGAAGGAACUUGAAGUAUAUAGGCAGAUGACUUAUCUCGGAAAUGAAGAACCAACAGGUGAUAGUGGGAAUGUAGUGGAUGCACUAAGACGUCAUGUUGCUUCACCUGAUCUUAAUGAGGAUCCACUUCUUAUGCUUCAUCAGAUUAGUGCUUCUUUCAACAAGAGGACUGUUGCGGAAAAUAAGAACUCCGAGGAGGUCAGUUCUCUUGAUAAACAAAACUAUAUUGCUUUAGCGGGAGAGGCACCGAUUCAAAGACAGAACAAAGAUGUCAACUCCCAGAAGCAAGUUGACUUAACAGAGCAUUCUUGCAGUCAAGAAUAUCAGGAAAAAGAGAUGGUUUUUAUGGUUAACCACUCCGAUGUGGCACCAGGGAAUGGGAAAAUACUGGACACAUCCUUGAAACCCUGUGAGACAGGUCUUUCGGAACAGAAACUUCCUGAUCAGGCCAUUCCCCUAGAAGGUGAAGUGCUAAAAGAAAAUCCAGAUAUGGAAACAAGUGACAGAGCUUGUAUUGAUGUUUCUAGAAAAGACAAGUGUUUGAUGUAUCAUGAGACAGUUGGAUAUCAGGGAUCAAAAUGUCCAUGUAAUUUGACCUCAGUCAAAGAACCUCGUGUUCACGAUGUUCAUGUCAUUGUCGACGGGUCCAACUUUUGCAAUGAUGUCAGUAAUGGUGAAUCUAGGAAAAGUGCAUUAGAAUUUUGUGGGAAAACUAGUCACCCUGUUGAAGCUUCUCCUACACAAGAUGUUAUUAGAGAUCGUCCAAGUACUAGCACGUUGUAUACUCAAGUGGAUCUUAAAAUCAGUUCAGACACUACUGGUGGGCUUCCACCAGUGGGCUCACGUGGUAAACCUUUGCUGCGUGAUUCUCGGGGAAAUUCCGUAUGCUCAGUAGACAAUGAAAGGCUGAAAAUUGAAAUGGAAGUGGAGCGGCUUCGAGAGAGGUUAAAGAUUGUGCAAGAGGGAAGAGAGAAACUUGACUUGACUGCAGAGCAUAGAGAAAGAGAAAAGAUGCAGUUAAAGCUUUUGGAGGAUAUAGCGCACCAACUUCAAGAGAUUCGGCAGCUUGGUGAACCUGAGAAGGCUGUACGACAGGCUUCCUUGCCCCUGCCAUUCUCUAAGGGCAUGUCAAAGAAAAGACGUUCUCGAAGUGUUUCUGUAGGAAUGCAACAAAGCUCUUGAGGUAUGGUAAUUUGCAUGACGAUUACUAGAACUUGCUCAGAUCCGGGGAAGGCGGUCCAAAUCAUACUCCGUACUCCAUAUUAAUUUUCAAAGAGAUGUUGUGCAGCUCUUUGAGAAGUAGUUCUUCUUGGAACGGCCUCUCUAGAGCAUGCAGCUGCUGGUAUUAAAGUGCAACUUUGGAGGACAAAUGGGGGUUAAUCCUCUACUAGGUAUGCAUGUUGCCCCGUAUAUUGGAAUUGCCGCAUUCCUGUAUUUAUCCCGGAGGACAAAGAAAUGUGCAGCACAGAAUGAGAUCAAGAUAGCAGUUAUUGAUGCAAAAAGCGAAGUUAAUCCAAGGAGCAACUUUCUUGGCAAGUCUUUCUCGAAAUCAUUGUGUCGGCAUCGAGAUGUGAGGAUAGCCAAGAAAAACACUAGAGCUGUGACAGAGAAGCAAAGAGAAAUUAGUGAUGUUACAGAGAACACGUCAAAAGCAGGCUGAUUUUUUAAGUGUGGAUGGCCGUUAUCAUCUGCUCCGCCUGGGAUUGUGGAAGAUGUAGCAAAGGCAACAGUAGCAAUCAGUGCUGCUACGAGAGAGAAUGAAUUGGCAGUUGUGACGAGCCAUUGAGUUCCAUCACUGAGUAAAUUUGCAUGUGUCUCUAUGAAGAUCUGUCUUGGUGUCUGACCUUUAUUGUUAUAACGAACAUAUGAUUGUCGUGGCAAAGUGUGCUUCACAUACUGCAUUAUGAUAAGAAAAUAUUUUACACGUUAGUGUAAUUAAGUUAAUCCCUUGUGAUAUUAAAA